rnacentral:rRNA from 1 species
CAGUAGCCGCGGUAAUACGGAGGGUGCAAGCGUUGCUCGGAAUCACUGGGCGUAAAGGACGCGUAGGCGGAUUAUCAAGUCUCUUGUGAAAUCUAACGGCUUAACCGUUGAACUGCUUGGGAAACUGAUAAUCUAGAGUAAGGGAGAGGCAGAUGGAAUUCUUGGUGUAGGGGUAAAAUCCGUAGAGAUCAAGAAGAAUACCCAUUGCGAAAGCGAUCUGCUGGAACUUAACUGACGCUAAUGCGUGAAAGCGUGGGGAGCAAACAGGAUUAGAUACCCCCGUAGUCCCUGUCUCUUAUAC